UACCAGAUGCAGCACAGGACCCGAACCAGUAACAGAUGUGGUGUCGGGCGCAAACUAGACCCGGUACUGGGUUAGGAAAGACAAGUAACUGGCAUGUAUGACAUCCUACCAGGAAGGAUUACACAACUACCAAGAUCAUGGGUUCUUAUGGUGGCAAAUGAAGAAUUAGCCAAAAUGGGGAAAGGACACUAGAAUCUCCUGCCCACUGGCAAAAAUGCACACAAAAAUACCCUGUGGACAAUAAAAAUGGCCACCCCUAGAGUUUUAGCGAUAGUGACGGUCUUCUCCAUGAUUCUCGGCGGCAUCCCGAGUGACAUUAAAGGCUCUCGGGGUUUGGAGACGCAGCAUUUGGCCCAGAAGUCUACUUAUCCUCAGCGUCGCCUGAAAAGAAGCUGGAUAUGGACACAGUUGUUUGUCCCUGAGGAAGAUCCCUCUCUUGGUGUUAUUGGACAGAUCAGGUCCGACUCUGACCGAGGCGAUUUAUCCAUCAAGUACAUAUUGACAGGAGAAGGUGCCGGAGAUGUCUUUGAGAUAGAUGAGUUUUCUGGUGAGAUCAAUAUACGUCCUUCAACUGUUUCUCAAGGUAUCAACAGACAAAGACAUAGUGAGCUUUGAGGAUGAGUUUUCCCUGAAAAAGCUCGAACGUU
rnacentral:lncRNA from 1 species